rnacentral:tRNA from 1 species
AACAAAGACGAAUAAAGAAUCAAUAGGAUAGAGUGAAAAAAAUACUUAGUAAUUCUAUCAAAGA